GUCCCUGUAGCUCAAUUGGAUAGAGCGCAAGAUUCCUAAUCUUGAGGCUCCCGGUUCGAUUCCGGGCAGGGGCA
rnacentral:tRNA from 1 species